UCUAACGAGCGUGGCUCUGACCUUUUGGCAUUCACGAAAUUUAGUUUGUUUUGCGGUAUUGAUAAAAAUAAAGUAGUUUUGCGGUCUUGUCGCAGUACAAUUUUCUGAAGCAAAGCAGGUUAGCGCGCGAUGCGAGCUCCGUUGAAUGCUUUGCAGUGGAUGCAGCCAUCGCUCCCGACAGAAGCAUACAGGGUUGUCACACACGUUAUUGAAGCGUAAGGUUAUGUUUAGCCAUGAAAUGAUCACGCAUGUAGGAUGCGUAAACGAGCCAUGAAAUAUUUAUAAAACUCAUUUGACGCGUUCGAGUCAAUUCAUGACAAGUGUGCGUGUCGUCUGUGGCGACACGUACAGCUCAAAAAUGCCGAUUUCCCUGCAACAAAACGGUGGCGCCAUCUGUGACCGCGCUGCAUGUCCGUAGCCGUAGCCAUAGAGUUCCCUUCAAUAUUUUUUUGUAGGAAACUCUAUGGCCGUAGAUAGUGCCACCGUUCCAAUACUGUGGCAUCUCACUAUGAACAAUUUCAGACCAUAAGACCUAUGGCCAUUUAGUGCAAAAUGAAAAUAAAAAGGAGAGGGAACAAGCAGGAAUGACAAAAAAAGAAGAAAAGAAUUGACAUGGCAACACAAGUGGAAAGAAUGUUCACAUGCCAGCUGCGUGCAUCACUAAUAGAGGUUCUGGUUUCGACUACCUGAAGUGAAUAAACAUCGAAACUACAGUGCAUUGCUGACUGGUGUUUUCAUGGCAUCGCCUGGGUUUGCUGUUUUUCAUGCCACAAGCAGAUAUUAAAUAAAUAAUGUUGGGGAAGCACUUUAGAAGUA